rnacentral:lncRNA from 1 species
AAACCCAAAACCAACAUAUAAGCCCAACACGAACCUUUUUCGUAAAAUUAAUUAACUAAUUAAUUAAUCUUGACCAUUCUUCAAUUAAACCAUUUAAUUGCUUAUCCAUUUCAUUUGAUUUCUUCACAUACAUCCUUACUCGGUGUACGAUCCAUUAGGUUCCAAUUAGCGAGGUAGUGGGCGAUUGUUACUCUUAACGAUCGAUUGUGAAAUUGAAACCACAUUUCAAUUCUCCCUUAAUGAUUAGUGUUUGCUAAUCAUUUAGGGCUUCCACAAACCAUGAGUGACACCUAGCAGUAUGUCAUGAUUACCCAAGCUAAGUAGAAUUGGUUGGAGAACCUAUCCAGUUGCAACUACAAUGCAAUAUGGUCCUUCUCUAAUACAAUACUCUUAAUCACAUUGUUUGAGUGAUAGUUUGUUUCAUGUCUACUAUCUAAUGUGAUACAUCUCUAUAUGAUUCCCUUGAAUAUGAUUUGGAACAAACUUCCUAAGUCAUAUUCAAUGCUUUGGCCAAAGACUUUAGAAUCAUAUCUUAGAGUAUUCUCCUUCCACCAUGGAAGGUUAGAGAUCCCUUGUUGUGCAUUCAUAUGCCUACAUGACUAGAUUGCUUGACCCCAACAAUGUCGUGGACACUCCGAUGGAAUGCGUUUGACAUGAUCAAAGAUCAAGGACCUAACCAUUAGACAUCUAUGAUGCCUCAGGUCAAAGGACUACUUUGCAUAUUGCAACUUUAGAGUUCUUACAUGACAUGUAUGUUCGAACUCUCUUUUGAUCGUUGUUCAGUGUACUCGAUUACUCUUUCGAGCACCUACAUGUUUGUCUUAGUGUCCAACACCAAAUGACUUGAGACUUAGUCAUACUCACGCUUGAGUCAACAUAACACAUACUAACCUUAACGGAUUGUCAAUGCCCAAUUGGCAAUCCUAUGGCUAGGAACGUUUUAGGAAUGAACAUAAGAGAAUGGUCUCGAUAAUCUAACUCACUUAGAUCACUUGUCUCUUAGAUCAAAUACAUUCCUUGGAUUCACUUAUUGCUUAAACACAUGAUACAAUAAAUAGUGAUUAACAAUAAGCUUUGCCCUUCAUUAAACAUAUAAAAGUUUAAUACAUUAAGUAUUCCAAAAGCUAUUACAUCAAAUGAGUGGCUUUGUGGGCAUACUUCCAACAUCACCAGUUCCCUCUCUCAUUUGUUUUCAAAUUGGUGACCCAAGAUUCAGAUCUCAUCUAACUUUUGGUGACAACACAACUCCCAAAUCACAAUCCCAAAAGCUUGGUGUGAAAUGGAUAACAAUUCAUCCACCAAAGCUCUCAUGAAAGUUGCAGGUGGGAUUGGAUGAAUUAACUGUUGGAAAUGUGCCCUAAAACCAAUCAUAUGAUGAUACUUUAAGGACAUUGCACAUGUUAAACUAAUCUAGUUUAAUAUCAAGGGCAAAGAUUAUUGUUUGAGCCGUCUCAUAUAAAUGUUAUAUGCUUAAACGAUAAGUCCAAGGAAUAUGUGAUUGGGAGAAUGCAAUCUAAAGAAGUUAGAUUCAUGAGACCAUUCUUUCAUAGACAUAUCCUAAACGUUCCUGAUCAUAGGAUUGCCAAUUGGGCAUUAACAGUCUGUUAAGAUCAGUACGUGCUGUGUC